GAUGAACGCUGGCGGCGUGCUUAACACAUGCAAGUCGAACGGAAAGGCCCAAGCUUGCUUGGGUACUCGAGUGGCGAACGGGUGAGUAACACGUGGGUAAUCUGCCCUGCACUUCGGGAUAAGCCUGGGAAACUGGGUCUAAUACCGGAUAGGACGAUGGUUUGGAUGCCAUUGUGGAAAGUUUUUUCGGUGUGGGAUGAGCUCGCGGCCUAUCAGCUUGUUGGUGGGGUAAUGGCCUACCAAGGCGUCGACGGGUAGCCGGCCUGAGAGGGUGUACGGCCACAUUGGGACUGAGAUACGGCCCAGACUCCUACGGGAGGCAGCAGUGGGGAAUAUUGCACAAUGGGCGCAAGCCUGAUGCAGCGACGCCGCGUGGGGGAUGACGGCCUUCGGGUUGUAAACUCCUUUCGCUAGGGACGAAGCGUUUUGUGACGGUACCUGGAGAAGAAGCACCGGCUAACUACGUG
rnacentral:rRNA from 1 species